rnacentral:rRNA from 1 species
AUUGAACGCUGGCGGCAGGCCUAACACAUGCAAGUCGAGCGGCAGCGGAAAGUAGCCUGCUACUUUGCCGGCGAGCGGCGGACGGGUGAGUAAUGUCUGGGAAACUGCCUGAUGGAGGGGGAUAACUACUGGAAACGGUAGCUAAUACCGCAUAACGUCGCAAGACCAAAGAGGGGGACCUUCGGGCCUCUUGCCAUCAGAUGUGCCCAGAUGGGAUUAGCUAGUAGGUGGGGUAACGGCUCACCUAGGCGACGAUCCCUAGCUGGUCUGAGAGGAUGACCAGCCACACUGGAACUGAGACACGGUCCAGACUCCUACGGGAGGCAGCAGUGGGGAAUAUUGCACAAUGGGCGCAAGCCUGAUGCAGCCAUGCCGCGUGUAUGAAGAAGGCCUUAGGGUUGUAAGGUACUUUCAGCGGGGAGGAAGGUGUUGAGGUUAAUAACCUCAGCAAUUGACGUUACCCGCAGAAGAAGCACCGGCUAACUCCGUGCCAGCAGCCGCCGCAG